GCUUCUGCUGUCCCGCUCCUGGGCUCCUGGGCAGGAAGAACUAAACCCAGACAGGGACUCCUGGAGGUUUGCUGGCUGGGAGAAGGGUCUCACACUAUAUCCCAGACUGACCUGGAACUCCUCAAAAUCCUCCUGUCUCAGCUUCUGAAGGUCUGGGAUUACAGGAAUGAGCAACCAAGGCUAGCAUCAACCACUUCUUCACAGCUGUUACUUAUGUAUAAAGUUUGAGAGAUGAGGCCAGGAGACAGCUCAGCUGGGCCCUGGAUGGUUAAGACAGCAUCACAUGAGGAUGCGCCUUCUGCAUGUACUUCAGAAUUCCACACUAAUGUCUACACCAGACCCCCAUCCUGCAUCUAACCCAAAAUGCAUCCAGUCCCACCGCAGAGCUUGGCUUUCUGCCCCUCCUUUACGUUUGGGCAUGUCUGGCUUUCAGGAUUUUAAUCUUUCAGGAUUGUGAUUAUUUAUGACAUAGCCCCAUUUGGUAGCCCACACUGGCCUUGGAUUCCUGGUCCUGUCUCAGCUUGAGCGCUAGGAUUACAGGUACACUCCCCCACGGCCAGGACUUGAAUCUUUAGGGACUUCAGCAUUUGGCAUUAAUGAAGUUGGGAUCCGGUCUCUUCAGAUCAGCACUUCUUGGCAAGCUUGAGGCCUUCCCCAACUGGCAAAAAUGAAGAAACAGAUGCAGCCGUUCCUCCUCAGCGUUGGAGACUUUUAUCUUGAACACCAUUUCGCACAAUGCCAAGCCACACAGACCCUCGCCAUAAUUCCACCUUAUGAAUCUUUAUCCUUGUCUUGGGAACACAGCCUCCCUCUCAGCCUCCCCCAAAGUCCCUCUCUGAAGCCAAGGUUUAGGUUGCUAUGGUUCUAGAUGUCUCUCCCAGGCUCAUCGCUCUGAUGGAGCUCAGGACACUGAUUGAGUCUUAGAAAACAGAACUUCCCCUCUGCAGCCUGAAGGGGAACGAACACUGUGAUUGACGGCACUCAGAACUGGCCAAGCCCUGGUCACCAUUGGCGUGAGACUCACAGCACCAAGCUCCCCUGUCUACGUUGGAUAGAAAUGACUGUUCCAGGGCUGUUAGGAUGGCUCUGUGAGCAGAGGCUUGCUGCCAAGACUGCCUGAUGACUUGACUUUAAGCCCCAAGCGCCACAAGGUGGAAGAAGAAAAUCAACUCCACAAAGGUUUCCUCUGACCUCUACACAGGUGCAUGUGUGUACCCCUCCAAUCACCAUAAUAAUAAAUUUAAAUUGCCA
ensembl:lincRNA Gm11827 predicted gene 11827